rnacentral:tRNA from 1 species
GGGCCAGUAGAUCAAUGGUAGAUCGUCUCCUUGGCGUGGAGAAGGCUCAGGGUUCAAGUCCCUGCUGGUCCA